rnacentral:rRNA from 1 species
UUCUGAAAUUUAUAGUAGAAUUUUAUUUUUUAGUCAAAAAGCUAAAAUAAAAUUAAAAGACGAGAAGACCCUAUAAAUCUUUAUACAUAGAUUAUUAGAAUUUUGUAGAUUUUUUUUAUUACAAUAAUUAAUUGUAUUUUAUUGGGGUGAUAUUAAAAUUUAAUAAACUUUUAAUUUUUAAAAUCAUUAAUUUAUGAAUAAUUGAUCCGUUAAUAACGAUUAAAAAAAUAAGUUACCUUAGGGAUAACAG